rnacentral:rRNA from 1 species
AUGGAGCCCGACGUCUUCAGGGCCUUGAGGUCAGCGUGGGCGCGGGACGCCUCUGGCAGCGAGUGGGUGUGCUUCACGCGGAUGUGCAACAGAUAUAGUUUCUUUGGUUUCAUCAGCAACAACAAGCUAUCGUCAAUCAAUUUUGGUCUGCUGGUCUAUCCCGGGCAAUCAUCUUUGAACCAAUUGCAAGAGGAGCUGAUGUUGAGCUCCCUACUGAAGCGGACGAGCCGCUGGAACUCGAACGACGACGACCCCACCUCCGCCACAUCCAACCUCAACUGUUGCGCCAUGGCUUGGGCCGCCUCCUUGAUUUCGUCGGACACCAUGGCCUUCCUCACCGUCCUCUCGACAACGCCUCUGUCACAGACGUCUUUCAUGUUCAGCCCCGUCCUCCACACGGCGCCCACGAAGCGGCUGUUGGUCUGCUGGUCGGCGAAGAAGGGCCAUCACACCAUCGGCACGCCCUCGACGGCGCACUCCAGCGUCGAGUUCCAUCCGGCGUGUGUCAGGAAGCAGCCCACCGCCCGAUGGCGCAAUACGUCUCGCUGA